rnacentral:rRNA from 1 species
AGAGUUUGAUCCUGGCUCAGAAUCAACGCUGGCGGCGUGCCUAACACAUGCAAGUCGAGCGAGAAAAGGGGGGCAACUCCCUGAGUACAGCGGCGCACGGGUGAGUAACACGUGGGUAAUCUGCCCUGAAGUGGGGAAUAACACCGGGAAACCGGUGCUAAUACCGCAUAUGAUCACGGUGUCUGCGGACACAGGGAUGAAAGGAGCAAUUCGCUUCAGGAGGAGCCCGCGGCUGAUUAGCUAGUUGGUGAGGUAAUGGCUCACCAAGGCAACGAUCAGUAUCCGGUCUGAGAGGACGGUCGGACACACUGGAACUGAGACACGGUCCAGACUCCUACGGGAGGCAGCAGUGGGGAAUUUUUCGCAAUGGGGGCAACCCUGACGAAGCAACGCCGCGUGGGUGAUGAAGUCUCUUGGGACGUAAAACCCUUUCGACGGGGAAGAAACCGCAAGGUUGACGGUACCCGUAGAAGAAGCCCCGGCUAACUCCGUGCCAGCCGCCGCUGU